rnacentral:rRNA from 1 species
CACGACUACAUUAGAUACCCGGGUAGUCCCAGCCGUAAACUAUGCUCGCUAGGUGUCAGGCAUGGCGCGACCGUGUCUGGUGCCGCAGGGAAGCCGUGAAGCGAGCCACCUGGGAAGUACGGCCGCAAGGCUGAAACUUAAAGGAAUUGGCGGGGGAGCACAACAACGGGUGGAGCCUGCGGUUUAAUUGGACUCAACGCCGGACAACUCACCGAGGACGACAGCAAUAUGUAGGCCAGGCUGAAGACCUUGCCUGAAUCGCUG